rnacentral:rRNA from 1 species
GGGUUGUGAGGUUAAGCGACUAAGCGUACACGGUGGAUGCCCUGGCAGUCAGAGGCGAUGAAGGACGUGCUAAUCUGCGAUAAGCGUCGGUAAGGUGAUAUGAACCGUUAUAACCGGCGAUUUCCGAAUGGGGAAACCCAGUGUGUUUCGACACACUAUCAUUAACUGAAUCCAUAGGUUAAUGAGGCGAACCGGGGGAACUGAAACAUCUAAGUACCCCGAGGAAAAGAAAUCAACCGAGAUUCCCCCAGUAGCGGCGAGCGAACGGGGAGCAGCCCAGAGCCUGAAUCAGUGUGUGUGUUAGUGGAAGCGUCUGGAAAGGCGCGCGAUACAGGGUGACAGCCCCGUACACAAAAAUGCACAUACUGUGAGCUCGAUGAGUAGGGCGGGACACGUGGUAUCCUGUCUGAAUAUGGGGGGACCAUCCUCCAAGGCUAAAUACUCCUGACUGACCGAUAGUGAACCAGUACCGUGAGGGAAAGGCGAAAAGAACCCCGGCGAGGGGAGUGAAAAAGAACCUGAAACCGUGUACGUACAAGCAGUGGGAGCCUCUUAAUGGGGUGACUGCGUACCUUUUGUAUAAUGGGUCAGCGACUUAUAUUCUGUAGCAAGGUUAACCGAAUAGGGGAGCCGAAGGGAAACCGAGUCUUAACUGGGCGUUAAGUUGCAGGGUAUAGACCCGAAACCCGGUGAUCUAGCCAUGGGCAGGUUGAAGGUUGGGUAACACUAACUGGAGGACCGAACCGACUAAUGUUGAAAAAUUAGCGGAUGACUUGUGGCUGGGGGUGAAAGGCCAAUCAAACCGGGAGAUAGCUGGUUCUCCCCGAAAGCUAUUUAGGUAGCGCCUCGUGAAUUCAUCUCCGGGGGUAGAGCACUGUUUCGGCAAGGGGGUCAUCCCGACUUACCAACCCGAUGCAAACUGCGAAUACCGGAGAAUGUUAUCACGGGAGACACACGGCGGGUGCUAACGUCCGUCGUGAAGAGGGAAACAACCCAGACCGCCAGCUAAGGUCCCAAAGUCAUGGUUAAGUGGGAAACGAUGUGGGAAGGCCCAGACAGCCAGGAUGUUGGCUUAGAAGCAGCCAUCAUUUAAAGAAAGCGUAAUAGCUCACUGGUCGAGUCGGCCUGCGCGGAAGAUGUAACGGGGCUAAACCAUGCACCGAAGCUGCGGCAGCGACACU